rnacentral:rRNA from 1 species
AGCAGCCGCCGCGGGAACACGAAGGGUGCAAGCGUUAAUCGGAAUUACUGGGCGUAAAGCGUGCGUAGGCGGUGAGUUAAGUCUGCUGUGAAAUCCCCGGGCUCAACCUGGGAAUGGCAGUGGAUACUGGCUCGCUAGAGUGUGUCAGAGGAUGGUGGAAUUCCCGGUGUAGCGGUGAAAUGCGUAGAGAUCGGGAGGAACAUCAGUGGCGAAGGCGGCCAUCUGGGACAACACUGACGCUGAGGCACGAAAGCGUGGGGAGCAAACAGGAUUAGAUACCCGCGUAGUCCCUGUCUCUUAUAC